CUUGAACUCAGAUCCAUCUACUUCUUAAUCCUGAGUCCUAGAAUUAAGGCAUAUACAGGAGACCAGCUGAGACACCCAGCUUGGUGGGACUGAGCAACUACUGGAUUAUUGGACUUUCCAUUCAUAGACAGCCAUUGAUGGACUGCCAACUCUUCAAUGUACAUGGAAGAAAAAGAUGGCUCCCCACCAAGAUAAUGCAGGACUUGGAAGCUCUAAGUACAAAUUCCAGGAGGUCAGUGUCUCAGGCUAAGCCUCUGCACUCGGCCCUGAAGACCAGGCUAACACAUCAGAACCAUCACUCAUGCUGAAGAACUGUGUCACCAGGAUGAAACUAAGCCAUUGAUUUCACCUUUGAGAAAUCAGGAUUAGGAGAUAACAGCUAGAUUUCCUAAGUGGAACCAGUUUCAACUGGCACGAUAAUCAGAUUCCCUCUAGCUUAAUCCUACAGCUAACCUCAAGUAACCCGCUUGAUGGAGUAGUGGUUUCCUAUUGUUCUGUUUUCCUGCCCUGCCUUACAAGGCAAGUCACUUUGAAACUGUUCCUUGCUUUUAGCUGCCCUUUCCUUCAGCCCUUUUCUGUCUGGAGAGCCAGCCUCCUCUGCUCAGCCCAAGGAACACCCAUUCUGUUUUCUGGAAGGAAGUGUUGCUCAAUCCCAGACUAAGAAAUAAAGCCAAUUAUCUUUAAACUGAAUUACUGUAAUUUGGUCCUUUGGCAGUCCCUACUGCAGUGAUUCCUGUGGAGGAAAGCCAGUCAACAGAGGAUGUCCAUCAACAUGGGGACACUUUUUUCCCUAGGAUGGGUCAACCCUUGACCCAAGUUUCUGCAUUAUCAUAGGGACAUCGAGGAAUUCCCUCUCAGAUAGCUGAGCCCCCAGGAGAGAAAUGGAGAGGGGUGUAGUAGGCGAACAAUCCUUCCAACAUCUUCAUGUGCUGGGAGCUGGGCAAUAGGACUUGGGAGUGAGAGAAAGAACUUGAAACUUGAGUUGCCAUUUGUAAACUGUCUGCCUUUGGACACAUGGCCUACUGCUAUUGCUGAGCCUCAUUUCUUUUCUUGAAAACACAAGGCACAAAGAGAUGCUAUACUCGAAGCUGAAUCUGAGGAUAGAGUAGCAGGCUGUUCAUCUUUACAAACCAGGGGGUUUUGCCAUUACUUUGAUCUCUUCCAACGUGUCCCUGGACCCAGGGCCAGGAGAAAGGUGUAAACCUAGUUAGUUUGCUGAGAAUACCAGUAUGUCCGGUGUGUUCUAGGGGCUAUGUGUGGAUGGUUCUGUUCAUGCAGGGUGUCAAGUAACGUAAAUGCAUCUUUAACUCUGGAGCUCUUGUUGAGAUCUCAGUACUGGGCUAAUGACCUGCCUUCCUUAUCUCCAGCCUUCACAUCAACCUGAAGGUAGUGAUGUAAUCCCCCAUACCCAUUGUUAUUAUUUUUUAUGAGGAAAGGAUGACAAAGAGCCCAAGUAGGGGUCCAAGAUUACACAGCACUGACGGGCAGAGCUAAGACUCAAACUGAAGCUAGAAGACCCAGGGGCCCAAGUUUUUGGUCUUUGCUCCCAUGUAAGCUUUUCACAUAUGACACCCUAAAAUUUUCAUCAUGGAGACCUGGUUUAAACAGGAGACAACUGUUACGAUAAAUCUUUCCGCCAAAAGCUGCCGAGCCCCACCGCCAUGUGUGCGCUCUACGCCAGCCGCCCGCCUGAGUUAGGGCCCCAAUUAAUACACAGAAAGACUUGUAUUAGGUACAAUGCUGCUUGGCCAAUGACUAGGAUCCUCAUCUGUUAGCUUAGUCUCAAUUAUCAUAAAUCUAUAUAUUUUAUAAGACUUACCUUAUAGAGGAUGCCUUUCACUGGCGCCAUCCGACAACAAGAUACCCAGCACUUCCAACACUGUUUACAGAGAUAGCUAGCAGACUGGGGUAUGCAGGCUUUUCACUGGGAGGGCUUGUACAUCUGAAAUGAGAAGUGGCCAUUCUUGUGUGUGAUAUUACCUGAAGCACCUGGUCCUCACUUGGUGCAUUAGUAGUUGUAACAGAAAUCAGAAUAUUUCACUCUCUCUCUAUUUUUUUUUUUUUGAGACAGGGUUUCUCUGUAUUGUUUUGGAGCCUGUUCUGGAACUAGCUUUGUAGACCAGAACUCACAGAGAUCUGGUCUCACCAGACCUUGAGCUCACAGAGAUCCAUUUGCCUCUGCCUCCUGAGUGAUGGGAUUAAGGCAUGCACCACCAACACCUGGCUUCUCUAUUUUUUAGAGACAGGGUUUCUUUGUGUAGCCCUGGCUGUCCUGGGAUUCACUUUGUAUACCAGGCUGGCCUCAAACUCAUAGAAAUCUGCCUGCCUCUGCCUCCCAAAUGCUGGGGUUAAAGGUGUGUGCCACUACAAGAAGUCCUAAUAUUUCAACAACAGUAAUUGGUGGCUGAAGAAGCCCAGUGGCAGCUCAUCCCCAUGUCAAAAGGCCUCUCCCUUGUCCUUCCAGGCACUGGACCAUUUCCUCCCAUUUUAACACUGUGUGUGCUUGCACACUGCAUGGCACCCAGCCAGCAGAACUGUGGUGGCACAAAUCUCUUCAAACUCAAAGAGCUUUUAAAUCAGUUUGCAUGGGAGAAGAGGGACAAGAGACCAUAGGAGUGCAAGCAGGGUGAGUGGGGUACAAGGGCCCACUCAGAGCAGAUUAACCCCUUUGGCCCAUCCCUCCCCCUAAGAGAAGGUAGGAAGGAAAGAGAAAGAGGGAGUGGAGGUGGGACUGGAAAGAGACAAGCACUUUGGAGGCUCAGACAUCUAUUUUUAAACUCUGAGGUCUCAACCCAGCCCUGAUUUGCUGUCAAGCAUUCAUUCAGUGCUUAACCAUCCCGCUAGUGUGACUUCCUCCAUCCCAGUAAGCAGAGGGAUUGCUGUUUUCCUCUUGAGGCCUCCAGAAGCAGAAGGCCAACAUUAUGGGUGUGCAGUUUCACACUCUAGGUGUCUACCAUAAGGGAAUGGAGGGGCAGACGGGAAGGAAAACAUCCCCUGAGCCGCAGGGGUUGCCUCCUGCUCCGUGGGAGGGUUGGGAACCAGCCAGGGUGGAGGCCACAGUCAGGGGAGAGGUGGGUGUUAUUGUGCAGCCUGAGCGGAAGGGGCCUAAUUUGGUAAGAGCUGUGUCGUGCUGUCUCUUCAGCAACCAUGAGGUACAGGGUCUGGGCAAGAUGGCUGUCUAUGCACUCUUACUUCAAGGUUGGUAGGAUCCCACAUUAACAAGCGCGCAGGCUGAAGCAGAGCUUGUGAUUUUGCUGUUGUUUUGCCUCAGUGCAAAGACUCUUGGUCUUUAAAUCAUUAUUUGUGUUAUUUUUUUUUUCUGGAACUCCUUAGUCAAACAUGAGAUUAAAAAUAACAUUCUGGCCAUAUGAUUUCUGACUCAUUUUACCACUCAGCCUAAUGGGCUGGAUAGUGCUGUUCCCCUUAGCUAGCAGGGAAAUGGCACUUGUGUAAGCGGGACUGCUUAAAGUUUUAUCCCUAGGAAAAGGCAAAAUUAGAACUGGAACUUGGGCCUUCUGACUCGGAAUUCAGGGUUCUGUACCUUCCUGCAGUGGUUAGACACCAACCAAGAUGGGGCUUUCAGAGGCAAAGCCCUGUGUUAAAGCAUCUUCAAACUGCCCUUCCUUCUUUAAGUUUUACUCUGUAGUCCAGGUUAGCCUCAAACUUGUGACCUUACUGCCCCAGCCUCUCCAGUGCUAGGUUUAUGGGCAUGUGUCACCAUGCCUAGUUCUGACUUUUCUUUUUAAAAUAAAAUUGUGUAUAUGUGUGGUGUGUUUGUGUGUGAUGUGUAUGUGUGUGUGUGGUGUGUGUGAUAUGUGUGUGAUGUUUGUGUGUGGUGUGUGUGUGUGUAAUGUAUGUAUGUGAUGUGCAUGGUGUGUGUGAUGUAUGUGUGUGUGUGUGUGUGUGUGUGUGAGAGAGAGAGAGAGAGAGAGAGAGAGAGAGAGAGAGAGAGAUGUGUGUGUGAAGUGUGUCUGUGUAAUGUGUGCAUGUGUGUGAUGUAAUGUGUGUGUGAUGUGUGUCUGUGUUAUGUGUGUGGGCACUCUCAUGCCAUAGUACAUAUAUGGAGGUCUGUGAGUAGGUUCUCUCUUCUACCUCCAUGGGUGGUCCCAGUUUGUCAUUAUUGCCUGAGUCAGCUCACUGGCCCCAUCCUUUCCUGUUUUAAGUCAAAAAUAAAAAAAAAAAUAAAAAAUAAAAAUUGAGACAGAGUCUCAUUGUGUAGCCCUGGCUGGCCUAGAACUUGAUAUGUAGAAUAGGUUGACCCUGAACUCAGGGAUCUGCCUGUUUCUGCUGGGAAUACCACCACACCUAAGCCAAAACUACUACAGUGAUUCUCUUUCAAAGUCCCACCUCUUGGCCAGGCCACCUUUCUCUCUGGCUCUGGUUUCCUUCCAAACGUUCACCCCAGAUCAUCCAUGGGAAUCUGUUUUCCAUCCCAGAUGUAGCCUCUGGCACUCUGAAGUUCCCAGCUCAACCUGCACGUUUAGGGUGGAUGGAUAACCCAAUGUGAGCACCCCAGCUUUCAGGGUUCCGCCCCUACUCCCUUCGCUCUUUCUUUGGAGUCCAUCUCAAAAAGGUUUGAGGUGGCCACAGAGUGAGCACCACUCAACUCUGGUUUCUCUGUGAGGGAGAGCUUGGCAUUAGUUAGAAACCUCCUCACUGCCAGGGGGCCUGCUCAUCAUCUUCUCCUCCCUCUUGCCAAUAAAAUGAACCAUUUAGAGCAGAUUUUUCUGAUUAACAAGCUUCGUACUAAAUGGCUUCAGCUGUUCUUGCUGAUUUAUAGGGUUCAGGGAGUGUUGCCCAGCUGCGGUCUUCCUCGUUUGUCCAAGUUCCCCUAUGAAUCAUUGUUGCCCUGGUGAUACGAUGGCUGGACACAGGCACCCUCCACGGGGCAUCUGCAGAGGAGUUUCUCUUUUCUUUUUAAAAUUCUAAUUGUGGAAAUGUCCAAACAAAAUUCAAAAAUUAUAUGAUAAAACCCUUUAUAAGCUGGGUGGUGGUGGCACACACCUUUAAUCCCAGCACUGGGGAGGCAGAGGUAGGUGGAUCUCUGAGUUUGAGGACAGCCUGGUCUACAGAGUGAGUCUAGGACAGCCAGGGAUACACAGAGAAACCCUGUCUGGGAAAAAAACAAACAACAACAACAAAACCCAAUUUUGUUUGAUACACUUGCCCCUGCCUCCCAAACUGACAUCCUACUGAGAUUAUUUGAAGUGUUCAUUUAACCAGUGGAUUUUUCACAGGAUUUUCUAAACAAUGAAGACUCUCUGGGCUUUAAAAGAAUCACAAUACUAUUAUUCCAUCUAAAAAUAUCAACAAUAAUUCCGGAAUAUUAUCUGAUAUUUGAAACCCUGAAAAUGAAUCUAUAGUAUAUGCACAUAUUUUAAAUUUCCAAAUUCUGCAAAGUGAAAGACAUCCAUCUGCCAAACCUCAUUUCUCCGAAUGCCCUUAGGAUUACAGCCUGCUGGCAAUGGAGUUUGCUUAUAAAAGGAACAAGUAGGACA
rnacentral:lncRNA from 1 species